CACAGACAGAGCCGGGAAUUCUCGAGUGGAAAUUUAUCAGAUAACAGUGCAGGGUAAACCUCAGCAUGGCAUGCUGUUUCACAUUAGCAUUUCACAUCCUCAUCAUUCUUAGCAUUCCAUGUGGUUUAGAUCUGUAGGCUUGUUCAUGGAACAUACAUUCAGUUAUCUGGGACUCUUGCAUGCCUUGAAUUUGAAACUACACAUAAAUAGUCCCAGAUUAGACAUGAAGAGUUUCAAAUUAUGCUAUUAGCCACCCAAUUUAAUCGACUUGUUGGAUACAGACCGAUUAUGCCUAAUGUGAUCUGUAGAAAGCUAUGCCUUAAUUAGUGGUUGGAAAAUCCAUGAGAACAUGCUGAGUCAGGGAGAAAUCUUGCCCCUCUCCAUCACGCAGCCAGAUAGAUAGAGCAAGUGACAACAUCUGAAUAAUGCAUAACCCAACAGAUCAAACGUAACUCGUCUUCCACUUAUCACACCACAUUCAGCAACACAAGGUGGGAAGAAACCCAGGAGCUACAGAAUGAAACAGCCUUUGCAGCUUUCUCUCUCCUUUGAGACUCUCUCCUAUGAGGGGCUUCUAAGAAAUGGACCUGAUAUCAUGCACAUGGAAAUGAGGCUGGCUGAGGAACCUUGCCAUUCUAACAGUACUCACAUCAAUGAGUCUAAGUCCUUAGACAGAUAACACUGAUCUGUAGUUCCUGAAGCAGAAGUGAUGUGUAUUUUACUCUGGAAGUCAUCAGUAUUUUACUUCUGACUUUAGUUUGUAAUAAUAAGUUAAUUCGCUUUAUGUGUUCAGUUGGACUGUUUCACAUUAUGUCCACUUAAUUUAUACAGUAUAUUUUGGUUUUUAAUUAGACAUCAAAUGCACAUUCAUGUAUGCAAACUGAAUGCAUUGUUUUAAUAAAUAAUUGUCUCGGUUCAUGAAUUCACUCUCUCUCUCGUCUAUCGUGUUGUUAUGUGUGUGUCUAUGGGCGUGGUCACUGAUCAGCGAUGAUCAGCAGCGCCAGCUGGUUUCAAUUGUUUGUGGCCUAUAUAAGUUCAGUAACUGGUGUUUCAUGUUGUCAGAUCGUUGUUUCUCCCCGGUGUGCUCCCGUACCUGUUUCCUGUGUCCUAGUUCCUGCCUGAGUCUUCCUGUGUCGUCGUCGUCAUCUUGGAUCUUCACCUUCUUUGGAUUAUUCGUUCACCUUCACGAGGAUUGCACACUCACCGGGAUUCGAGGGAUCAUCACCGAAGCAAGCACCAUCAUCGUUGCCCACCGAGGUCCCUGUGUCACCGUGCCAUCAGCCUUGUGUUCGCCCCUGUGUUACCCUGUUUAUUACUGUGACUUUCUUACCUUUUUAGCUUGGUCAAUAAACACGCCUUGCAAUUACAUCCUGUCUCUGUGUUACGUAACAAUAAUGCCCUUUUGAGUGUCUCUGUAUAGCUUGCGUGAAUGUUAAAGGGGGGGUGAAAUGCUAUUUCAUGCAUACUGAGUUUUUUACACUGUUAAAGAGUUGGAUUCCCAUGCUAAACAAGGACAAAGUUUCAAAAAUUAAGUUGUACGUUUGAAUGAGUAUUUCUGUUCCAAAAAUACUCCUUCCGGUUUGUCACAAGUUUCGGAAAGUUUUUUUCGAGUAUGGCUCUGUGUGACGUUAGAUGGAACGGAAUUUCCUUAAAUGGGUCCUGAGGGCACGUUUGCCGGAAGAGCGCACGCUCCCGUAUAGCAGAGCAGAGAGAGGCUGAGCACAGACAAUCACUGAUCAGAGCGAGAGCAUCGCGAAAUGUCACAAAAGGAGUGUGUUUUUGGUUGCCAGGGCAAGACAACCCUGCACAGAUUACCAAAGAAAAAACAGCAUUAAGGGACCAGUGGAUGGAGUUUAUUUUUACAGAGCAUCAACGGAGUUGUGCAAGUGUUUGUGUUUGUUCCCUGCGUUUCUAAAAUGCUUGUUUUACAAACAAAGCCCAGUUUGACGACGGAUUUGCGUAUCGUUUAUUUCUUAAGGAUGAUGCAAUCCCAACGAAAAAGGGUCACGAUUGUGUGUUGGAACCACAGGCGGUGAGUAAAACUGCUUCAAAUAUCUCUGCCUCCUUGUUAGUGCGUUCGCCUCCCAUCGGAGACCCGGGUUCGAGCCCCGCUCGGAGCGAGUGCUUUCUGCUGCUGCUCUCGUUCAGUUUCAGCCUUCACAGCUGUCACAGCUUCCAAACGCUCUCAAAGCAACUGGCGCUCAUGAUUCUUUAGCUCCGCCCACACGUCACGCCUCCAGCCGCUCGUGUUUUUCCGGGAAAAAUCGGUACAGACUAUCUUUCUCUUAUGAAUAUAAUAAAACUAAAUACUUUUUGGAGUUAUGAAGGAUGCAGUACUACUCUAUAGGUACUCAAGAUUAACAUGAUAUUGAGUGAAAACGCAUUUCACCCCCCCCCCCUUUAAAAUCAAAACUAAAUGGAAAUCACAACGCAUUUUUUAAUAAUAAAUAACAAGUAGCGCAUCUUUCAUAGACAUAACUCAGAAAACAAUUCAGAAUAUAUAUUUCUGUUCUUGAAUAUCUAGCUUACUAGCUAAUAUGUGGCUGAAACAAAGCAAAGUGUCUUUCAAAGAUCUGAGGUCACUAAACCUGUCAAUCAAAUCUCAUGAUUCAUCAACCCUAUAAAGCCUACUGUAUCAUAUUUGAUACACAAAAUGGCCCAAAAUUAUCAACAUGAUCAAAACUUUGCUG
rnacentral:lncRNA from 1 species